rnacentral:rRNA from 1 species
AACGAACGCUGGCGGCAUGCCUAACACAUGCAAGUCGAACGAGACCUUCGGGUCUAGUGGCGCACGGGUGCGUAACGCGUGGGAACCUGCCCUUAGGUUCGGAAUAACUCCCCGAAAGGGGUGCUAAUACCGGAUAAUGUCUUCGGACCAAAGAUUUAUCGCCUUUGGAUGGGCCCGCGUUGGAUUAGCUAGUUGGUAGGGUAAAAGCCUACCAAGGCGACGAUCCAUAGCUGGUCUGAGAGGAUGAUCAGCCACACUGAGACUGAGACACGGCUCAGACUCCUACGGGAGGCAGCAGUGGGGAAUAUUGGACAAUGGGCGAAAGCCUGAUCCAGCAAUGCCGCGUGAGUGAUGAAGGCCUUAGGGUUGUAAAGCUCUUUUACCCGGGAUGAUAAUGACAGUACCGGGAGAAUAAGCUCCGGCUAACUCCGUG